UUCUCAUUCUACCGUUUUCUCCAAGUCCCUGUUAUAACAUCCAGAAUUCAAGUAUUUGUGCAAAGGAAAGACUCACGACUUGCCAAUAAGUUAAUUUCUAUGAAUGUUUCUGCUGUUCUUGCCCCUAAGUCCUACAGACUUACCAUGGAGGAUGUUGACAUCAACUGAAAAGGAUGACAAUUGUGCUCAAAGCUAAGCUGAAAAAAAUGUAGUUCUUAUAUCUCUUUUCUCUGCGGUAUAUAACUCUAGACAAUGUAAUCACCUUGCAGUUGUUUGAAAGUUAGCAAAAGAAAAUUUGCAGCUGUUUGGUGUAGAAGGGGAUAAUGGGGUACUUCAGUUACCCGUAUUUAAGACUCCAGAGGGCCUUGGUCCCCAAAAGAAGGAGCUAUGUUGGGACAAAGCAAAUGCACAGGUACAUUUUUUUUAAAACAAAGCUUUUAAAUAAGGUUUAUGUUCUACUCUCUGUUCCUCUCAAUGGAAACCUUUUUAAAAGAGAAGGGGAGAAAAAUUAUAUGUAAUAGUCAAUGCCUUUAAUUUUUCAAGGAAAAUCUAAAGAUUAGAUUCAAUCUAUUUCUUCCCCAAAAAUGGUCUGCUAGACCUCCUAGAACAUAUGCAAUUUUAAGAAAGAUGUGUGUUCUGUCAAAGUCAAAUACACGUCACAUACUUUAAAAAUAGGCCCUUUAGCAAAGGUUGAAAGGCAUUUCCAGGACAAAUUGAGCAGACUCCCUUUAUAAUACUGGAACCUGCACGGGGGGGGGGGGCAGUUUUCAAUAUUUUAAAACUGUCCUUGCCUAAGUGCCCCUUCCUUUCCUUAAUGGCUGGCACCUACCUGUCCUCGUCACCCCUUAGGGAGUCUGCACAGGUCUCUGUGCCCCACCUUCCCACCCAGCAUGCUGACGGGCCACUCUUCAGUGCCAGGCUGGCCCCUGGGUCCCCAUCAUUGUCACUGCAGUGCCUGUGCACCUGACCGUCAUCUGGCAUGUGGGACCCCUCCCCUUAUGAUGCUACGUCACAAUUUUUUUUUACCUGAUAAAGACUUCAUAAUCUACCUGAUAAAGACUUCAGGGCAACAAUAAUAAAUAUGCCAACGGAAACAGAGACAAGAAUAAACAAACUGUAAGUCUUUGAAUCCACACUGGCCAGUACACAACAGACACUCAGAAUCACAUAAAACACUCUCCUUUGAGGAAACGAUGGCAUUUUAGUGAGGUGGGGCAGGGAGGGCCUUCCAUCAGUUUUUAAAGGGGGAUCCAACCCGCGUAGCUGGGGCGAUGUUUCUACCUAAACGGCUGCGACAGCACAGCACAGGAACAGGUGCACGGUCAAGGCCAGUUCUGCUCUUGGCUGGUUGUCCAUUUUACUUUAACAAAAGGGCGUGACAGAGAAGCAGGUUCAGAGCCCAGAAUCAUGUCCUAUGACCAGAAAAGAGCAUGUGUUGUUCUAUCUCAAUGCAUUUCUUCUCGAUUUUCUAUGCUAUAUGUAUUCGCUUUAGUUUUAGUUAAAACAUUCCCUUUAUUUUAGAAUCUCAUAAUUGAAUGGAAGCCUUUUCUAAAUUAAAAAAAAAUGUUCAAUGAAUUCCUCUGAACAUUUUUCCUUGUGACGUUCCAAGCAGCAGGUCUGCGAGCUUCCUGCCCCUGCUACCAGCUCUCGGGCUGAGAAGGGUGGUCCUCACCUCCUCUCUUCGGAUUAUUUCAUACGUUUAAAUUCAAUACACUUUAUUAACCUGAUGAUGUGCUUACUAAUUUUUACUUUAAUCAUUUGUCAUUUAAAGAAAUUUUGAAAAUGAGAAAAUUAUAUUUACCCAUUUCUUUCCAUGUUCAGCCUUCUUUGUAAAGCAAGGUACCCAUCUGAUGUCAUUUGCUUCGGUCUGAUGAACUUCCCUUGAUAUUAUUUUGUAACUCAUGUUUGCUGAUGAAGAUCUUUGGCUUAGCUUUUUUUGGCUGAAAAAGGCUUUUAUUUUGCCUUCCUCUCUUUACACUGGAAUGUACAAGCCUCAGUUGACAGGUGGAAUAAGUAAUAAAUGUCCACUCGAGACUGAAAAAAAUGACAUUUGUACCCAGCAUCACAGUUUUCCAACCUUUGAAAAUCCUUUUUUGGGGUCUGUGCUUUCUCCUUUGAAAUAGAGGAAUUCCCGUCAUUCCUGGCUCAGUGGUAAUGAAUCCAACUGAGGAUUGCGGGUUCGAUCCCUGGCCUUGCUCAGUGGGUUAAGGAUCCGGCGUUGCAAUGAGCUGUGGUGUAGGUCACAGAUGUGGCUCGGAUCUGGUGUAGGCUGGCAGCUGUAGCUCCGAUUUGACCCCUAGCCUGGGAACUUCGACAUGCCACAGGUGUGGCCCUAAAAAGAUAAAAAAUAACAAUUUUAAAAUUUUAGAAAAAGAAACAGGUCUUUGUAUAAAUCCUGUUAAUUGAAUCCAUUUUAUCAAAACCUAAGUUCUCAUUUGUUAAUAAUUUUUAUUAAUGCAACCUGCAAUGUCUUUGCAGCUUCUUCAUCUGCAUGUGUGGCUUUGUACACGCUAAACAGUGGAAGAGGGAGAAGUCCACAAAGACAUGAAGUCGGACACCUUUAACCAAAGGGAGGCAUUUCACAGGCUUUUUAGAUUCUGUUUGAAAGGGUUUCACGUGUCACUGACACUACUGUUCUUAACAGCGUGGCAGCCUGGUCCUUUCCACUUCCAAACCAGAGAUGUUGUGACAAACCACGGGAACAAGGAGCGUCUUUCUCCUUGCCGACAUCAUGUCCAUACUUGCCCUUCCUAGCUCGGGAACUCCUGCUCCACAGAACCAGCUCUAGAGGACAAAGCACGAAGCAUAAACAUAUUUUCAAGAAAAAUGCAAGACGUUAGGACUGUGCCUCGUCCUGUGCUCAUGGUGAGGGACAACCACCAGAACACAAGCGGCCAGCAAGGGUCCCUGUCCUGGGGCCCGAGUGUCGAGUGUCAGAGGCUUCUCUCCCUGCUUUUCUCGCAGGUCCAUCCUCCCCACCUUCCCUUCUUCCACAGAGGUUCCCUCAUUGCCCAUCCUCUCUCUGUCCUUCCUAUGUUCCUUCCCCAUUUCACGCCUUGCUGUGAGCCCGAAUAAGCCAAUAAAAACCACCACCACCAAAGACGUAUAAAGCAAAGGAACCAAGAUUGGGUCGAAGGACUCAAUUCAUCCUAAAAUUUUGGCAAAUAUUACAAAAUUUUAGAAAAUGGCUAAGUCCCUUAAAUCACAGUGUCUCUCCCACUACCAUACCUGCUUUUAUGUCUAUGCAGUGUGACUUGAUAUUACAAAGAAUUCUACAGACUGGGAUGUCACAUGACAGAAGCGUAUGCCAGCCUCUCUUUGUCGCAUUUCGCUAAGGGAGAUGAGCCAGACAAAAAGACGGGUCCUCUAUGACAUGACAAACAGGUGGGCUUGAUAAAAGCCGAACUUGUAGAAACAGAGAGUAAAAUGGUGAUUACCAGGGGCCAGAGGAGGGUGAGCUGGGGAGAUGCUGUUACAGGUACAAAUGUACAGCCCAAAGGGGACUAAGUCCUGGAGAUGGAACGGACAGCCUGGUGACCGGAGUCAGCAAGAGCGUGUUACAGAUUUCAAAUGCGCGAGACCAGCUCUUACGCGUUCCCACCAUGAAGAAAAAGGAUGAGCGUGUGCCCCCGGGGUGUCAGGAAAGGCUAAGGAGGUAGUCACAGUGUGAAACAGAAGUACGGUAAAUCAACACUUGGUACACCUCGAACAUACAGAGUGGUAUACAAAAUUAUAUCUCAAGUAAAAAAAUUCUAAUUAUAAAUAAUUGAGUGUUUAAUUUGCAAUGACCACCAAUGCUCCUAGGAUCACACCACACUUACUAACUUACUAACAACUUAAUUGUAUUUUUAAGUGUCAAUCUUUUAUUUUUUACAUAUUAAAACUUCUCGCAGAUUGUGUAGAUAUUUUUCUGAGACGACGUCAUUUUUAUGCCACCCAGAGAAAAUGGAAAAAUUGUUAUUUAGCAACAGAUCUGAUCUACAUAUAUGUGUGUAACCAUGGGAAAGAAUUAUUACUAAAGAAAUAAAAAUAUUUUACAUAUAUAUAUGUAAAAAUUUUCAAGCCCCUCUGAAUAUUUUAAAAGAAGAUACUGAGCCCUUAUGACCCGCCCCCCCUUGGCCAGUUUUCACAUCUGUUUCUUUUCUGAAAUCUAAUUAGGACAGUUAAUAUUUGCUAUCUCUGUUCCACUAAAUCACAUUUUAUAAAAGCAGAGUGUUUUUAAUAGCCGAGGAACCAUGCUAUUUUCCAGAAGGCCUAUUUCCUCUCGUUAAAAGUACUUAGCAGGGAAGAGAACUUCUUUUGUAUUCUGAUUUCCCAUAUUUCUUUGUUUCCUCAGUGUUUUGACGUAGUGUGUUUUCUGAGUCCCCUUGAUGGCUAAAAAAAGCUCAGCUUUCAGAAGCAAUAGAAUAUGCAAUUAAAUUUCAUGUGUUCAGCUUUCUAUGUCUUGGACAAGUGAAGCUUGCUGAUUAGAGAAAUAAACCUAUCUGCCUCCUGACCCUCAUCUUUUCUAGAUCCAAGCUGAUCAGACCUGACUUUUUGUCACAUACAUGGAUACAAUGCAGGAUGUUAUUUAUUGUCAGUAACAAAGUGGAGUGUGUGUGGCAGAGAUUGGUGCGCUCAGAGACAGGGCUGAGGUCUGAAAGUGAGACUUCUGACCCGGUGAAGACACCCCAGGGUGGGGGGCCCUACUGGGUUGUGGGGGCAGGAUGCCUAAAUCACCAAAGCAGUGAUUUGCAGGAGAGAGAACCAUCUAUCAGUUUUUAAUAGGAAAGCAGAAUUUUGUUUUCAAACAUGUGGUUCACUACUGUUUGGUCCCACAGUUUAAUUUCCCCUGCAUUCACGGUGCGUUUGUUCCCACAUAUUCUUCUUUCCUGCUUGUGACCCAGAGUUGCGUUUCCAAGACAUCAUGGCUGUGACGUGAGGAACAGGAACAGGGCAGGGCAGGGAGGGUGCAGGACUGCUGUAUACACUUGAUUAUUUUCUGCAGUAUUUGACUUCUGACUGUAUGCAAGUAUUAAUUUGAUUACAAAUAAUUUUAUAUAAUAUUUGUAUCGGUAGUAUAUGAUAAAACUGCUGUAUAUAGCAGUCUAUUAACUGGAGAAAAUAAAUUAUUCAGGGAAUAUGGUUAAUGUAUAACUUACUGAAUAUUUGAAAAAAUUAAGUUAUGGGGAGUUCCUGUCAUGGUGCAGCAAAAACAAAUCUGACCAGGAACCGUGAGGACAUGAGUUCGAUCCCUGGCCUCUCUCAGUGGGUUAAGGAUCCAGCGUUGCUGUGAGCUGUGAUGUAGACUGGCCUCUGCAGCUCCGAUUGGACCCCUAGCCUGGGAACCUCCAUAUGCUGUGGGAGUAGCU
rnacentral:lncRNA from 1 species